AGCGAGAGGGGGGCGAGGCGGCCCCGCUGCUGGCGGGGGAGGGGAGUGCCUGGCCCCAGGAGCACUGGUGCCGCGGGUGGAAACGCGAGCUCGCCUGCGAGGCAGCUGCAAAAGCGGUUCCCGAUUAGGGCGACGCCGAAGAGAAAGUUCUUGUGAAGCGGUCGCUGGGCUUGGGCAGGGCUGGGAGAUGUGCGCAGCCACCGCAACCAGCCCUGGCAAGCCCAGCGGGGGCUCCUACCUGUUAAUAAAGGACAUCGCCGCUGACUCCCCCUGGGGAAAUGACUGUGUCUGCCUACGCUUCACCACCUAGGUUCAUUUUCCUGAAUGGUUUGUGCCCCCUUUGCUCUGCCUAGAGUCCGAUCUGCUACACAGUUCACCUGCCCUCCUCCCGCACAAGUCAGCAUCUCCGUGUCUCCGUCAGUAUGUCUCAUUCUCUGCCCUAGUCUGGCUGAGCAUCUCCCGAGCCGGUUUAAUUGAGAUUAAACUUGUUGGUAGGAGUCGUGGGAGGCUUCACUGUAUCAGGAAGAGAAGCGGGUCUGCAGAGAGGCUUUUGUUGCUACAGUACUGGACUGAGGCUUAGAUCUGGAUCCUGGCGAUAGCUAUAAGAUUUUCUUAUUAAAUGAAUCGGUUACGUGAGAUGGAGUGCUUUGGAUUAUUCAGUGCAGCAUUUGAAAAAACCCCCCACCAAUACCACAUGGACAGUAAUAGAUAGUUCUCACUUCUGAUAUUUACAAAACAGAAAGGAAUACAUACAAGGAUGCCAAACUCUUUGUCCUGAGAAGUAUGAUGCAGACAAUGCAAUUGAAAGGAUGAGUACACAAUUUUCAGAUCCUAGAAGGAAGCCCUUUAGCAUGAUUACAGUUCUUAUAUCACAUUACAUGUAACUUGACUCUCAGACUAACUCAGCUGUCCCCUGAAGCUCCCACUGUUUUGUCUUUUUUAAUCAUACGUUGAAGCUCCAUGUCAGUGCAACUAUCCAGUUUUUGUCUUUGCUCUGCUUUUGCCCACGUUUGGAAGAAUUUGAAAUGACUAUGUGACUUUUAAGGACACAUGAGAAUCUGAGACAUGUGUUUCCAAUCAUUUGACCCUCAACUGUUAGGGAUGAUUUUGGAUUCAAGUUGAAGAGCUUGCAGCAGAAACCGUCUGGUCA